UGGGGAAUAUUGCACAAUGGGCGCAAGCCUGACGCAGCCAUGCCGCGUGUAUGAAGAAGGCCUUCGGGUUGUAAAGUACUUUCAGCGGGGAGGAAGGGAGUAAAGUUAAUACCUUUGCUCAUUGACGUUACCCGCAGAAGAAGCACCGGCUAACUCCGUGCCAGCAGCCGCGGUAAUACGGAGGGUGCAAGCGUUAAUCGGAAUUACUGGGCGUAAAGCGCACGCAGGCGGUUUGUUAAGUCAGAUGUGAAAUCCCCGGGCUCAACCUGGGAACUGCAUCUGAUACUGGCAAGCUUGAGUCUCGUAGAGGGGGGUAGAAUUCCAGGUGUAGCGGUGAAAUGCGUAGAGAUCUGGAGGAAUACCGGUGGCGAAGGCGGCCCCCUGGACGAAGACUGACGCUCAGGUGCGAAAGCGUGGGGAGCAAACAGG
rnacentral:rRNA from 1 species